UACGUAGGGGGGCGAGCGUUGUCCGGAUUUAUUGGGCGUAAAGAGCGUGUAGGCGGCCAGGUAGGUCUGCUGUGAAAACUCGAGGCUCAACCUCGAGACGUCGGCGGAAACCAUCUGGCUAGAGUCCGGAAGAGGAGAGUGGAAUUCCUGGAUGUAGCGGUGAAAUGCGCAGAUAUCAGGAAGAACACCCGGUGGCGAAGGCGGCUCU
rnacentral:rRNA from 1 species